GUCAGGGCUGGUAGAGGCCUAGGUGUUAUGAAUGUUCACGGUUUGUGUUCGAAGGCCGCUCGACCCGAUGGGUCUGAGCUGGGGAGGAGGAUAUGUGAUAAAGUGAAGGCAGAUAGGCCUUUUAACCCCAGGGGGAGUAUGUGUAGGAUGUGUUGUAGGCAACACAAAAUGCUGUUUAGUUAUGGGCCCCUGGGGUGGAGC